GACGAACGCUGGCGGCGUGCUUAACACAUGCAAGUCGAGCGGUAAGGCCCUUUUGGGGGUACACGAGCGGCGAACGGGUGAGUAACACGUGGGUGACCUGCCCUCAGCUCUGGGAUAAGCCUGGGAAACUGGGUCUAAUACUGGAUAUGACCUUUCCUCGCAUGGGGUUGGGUGGAAAGUUUUUCGGCUGGGGAUGGGCCCGAGGCCUAUCAGCUUGUUGGUGGGGUGAUGGCCUACCAAGGCGACGACGGGUAGCCGGCCUGAGAGGGCGACCGGCCACACUGGGACUGAGACACGGCCCAGACUCCUACGGGAGGCAGCAGUGGGGAAUAUUGCGCAAUGGGCGGAAGCCUGACGCAGCGACGCCGCGUGGGGGAUGACGGCCUU
rnacentral:rRNA from 1 species